AUGACGCUGAGGCUGCCUGACAUUUUUAUGAACAUGCUGAUGGGUGAAGAUCCGCCAAAUAAUGUGAAGCUGCGACAGGCCGGCAGCGGGUUUCGCAGGCAGUGGGAUGUGCAGUUGGCGAUCAAGAAGGGCCACAUGUACUUGUCUUGUGGGUGGGAGAAGUUCUACCGUGCCUACGACCUGCAGCUGGGGUACUUCCUUGUCUUCGGGUACGACGACGACGCCAACAUGCUCAUCGUGAAGGUGUACAACAAGACUAUGUGUCGCAUGCGCUACGCUGCCGAUGAUGAUGCCGGUAGGAGCAGCAGCAGCGACACUGGCUACAGCCAAAGCAGUAGCGACUAUGGCUGUAGCGAAAGCAGCAGCGAUUCUGGCUGUAGCGAAAGCAGCAGCGAUUCUGGCACCAGCAUAGACAACAAGAAGGAUGAUCCGGACUGGAGUGCGGGAGAAGAGGAGCAGAGUGAGGAUGAGGAGCUGCAUGAUGACGAUGGGCAUCAGGCUGAGGAUGACCUAGCGCUGGUGGUGGCUGACCAAGGGCAAGAGAUGGUGGUGGCUGACCAUGGGUAG
rnacentral:rRNA from 1 species